rnacentral:pre_miRNA from 1 species
GAACUAAAUUUGAAGUAGAUUAGAUUAGUAUGAUCAGUUGAUCUACUAAUCUACUCUACUUCAAAUUUGUGCCC